AUACUGCAGAUAAAAUGAUAUUCUUUUCUUUCUCUGUGGCUCAUACAUUUCGCACAUACCUAAGUACUUCAUGAAUCCUGUCCUAGACAUCUCACCUCAUCCAGAAUCUUAUUUUGAAGGGCGCAAAAUUACUGGCUUUAAAACAUAUUCUCUAUGAGAAUCUUCCAUCGCCGGAAAGUCAAUAGACUCUCUAAUGAAGAAAUGAAGAGUACUGGGUAUAAAUUUUAUCGAUCACGAGCAGGAGAGAUGGGGGCAUACAAAUGUGGUAGAUUUUUUGGCCAGGUAUUACAAAUGCAGUUUACCUAGUUUACUUUGCUGUUCCAUUAUUGCCAUGGGCUUUCCACUAAACUUCACGAGAGCGAAAUUUUCAUCUUUUUCCUUUUUUUAACACAAAAUAAGCAAAAAUUAAAGUUGACCGUCACAUGUUUGUUUACAUUGACUUUUGGAGGUUAAAUUUGGCCAUCGAUGCUUUGAACCGAUCACCAAAUUUUAACCUCGAAAACCCGCGAAAUGUCGAAGUAAACACCAAACAAACUUUAUGAUGGUGUACGAGUGAGAAAGAUAUUAUAUUCUCCGAUUUUUAACGAGUAAAUUUGUGAAAAAUGGUGAAAAUAAGUGGCCCCGUGACUGUUUAGUGCAUUUAUAAUCUGAGGUGGCUUUUACGUUCGCUUAUAUGUUUCUUUUCAUCAGUAACAAAUCCGUUCAGCAGAGCCUAACAUUACCCAUCUCUUUUGAGUGAAUAGAUUGUUUUGUUGACCAUCUUUUGUUCAAUUGUUCAUGAUGGAUGUUACCCCCCCCCAAACAAACCCGGAUCAUUAUUAAAAGAAGGCCUUCCGGACUUUCAAGAUCAACCAAGAUAAAACUCCCCAAACCUGCCGACCGCAGCCCCUCAGCAGAGAAGUCGAGAAUUCUGGAGGAAAGCACUGAAUCCAGCAUCUCAGCCUCUGAGCAGCAAUGCACUCCUGUUCGACAGUCAGUUUUGAAAAUGAAAUGAGCCCACAGUAUCCACACUUUUCCGAAGAAACGAUGAUGAUUCUCCAGAGUUCAGAGUCGGAUGGGUUGAUGGAGUUUCAGGAAGUCUACCGAGGAAAGGUGUGGUGAUUAAUUUGAUUCAAAAUAAAACUAAGCUUUCAAGGAAUCCUCCAACUCUUUUGUCAUUGUAUAGAAAAACAACAGUUGACAAUCAGGGUGUUCUACGGUGCCCAAAAGUCCCUAAUGUCCCCGAUUAUCCCCGAUUUUGAAAGGGUGUCCCUGAUAUCCCUGAAAGUCCCUUAUUUUCUUGUUCAGGCCCCUAAAUAAUGACGAAAAUUUUAUUAAACACGGCAUUUGCAAAUUUUCGGCGGUGCGGUAUAACCGGAAAUAAAGAAACUGAAGUAUUGCUUGGUUUUUUUCGUAUGUUUUAUCGGUUCAACUUGAGUUUGUAAGUU
rnacentral:lncRNA from 1 species